AUUGAACGCUGGCGGCAUGCCUUACACAUGCAAGUCGAACGGUAACAGGUCUUCGGAUGCUGACGAGUGGCGAACGGGUGAGUAAUACAUCGGAACGUGCCCAGACGUGGGGGAUAACGAGGCGAAAGCUUUGCUAAUACCGCAUACGACCUAAGGAUUAAAGCAGGUGACCGCAAGGCCUUGCGCGUUUGGAGCGGCCGAUGGCAGAUUAGGUAGUUGGUGGGAUAAAAGCUUACCAAGCCGACGAUCUGUAGCUGGUCUGAGAGGACGACCAGCCACACUGGGACUGAGACACGGCCCAGACUCCUACGGGAGGCAGCAGUGGGGAAUUUUGGACAAUGGGCGCAAGCCUGAUCCAGCAAUGCCGCGUGCAGGAUGAAGGCCUUCGGGUUGUAAAAUGCUUUUGUACGGAAAGACAAGGCUCUGGCUAAAACCUGGGGCACAUGACGGUACCGUACGAAUAAGCACCGGCUAACUACGUG
rnacentral:rRNA from 1 species